rnacentral:tRNA from 1 species
GAGGGCAUAGCUCAGUGGUAGAGUGCAUGCUUAGCAUGCAUGAGGUCCUAGGUUCAAUCCCCAGUACCUCUG